GCAUAUCAAUAAGCGGAGGAAAAGAAACUAACAAGGAUUCCCCUAGUAACUGCGAGUGAAGCGGGAAAAGCUCAAAUUUAAAAUCUGGCUGUCUUCGGCAGUCCGAGUUGUAAUCUAGAGAAGUGUUAUCCGCGUUGGACCGUGUACAAGUCUCCUGGAAUGGAGCAUCAUAGAGGGUGAGAAUCCCGUCUUUGACACGGACUACCAGUGCUUUGUGAUGCGCUCUCAAAGAGUCGAGUUGUUUGGGAAUGCAGCUCAAAAUGGGUGGUAAAUUCCAUCUAAAGCUAAAUAUUGGCGAGAGACCGAUAGCGAACAAGUACCGUGAGGGAAAGAUGAAAAGAACUUUGGAAAGAGAGUUAAACAGUACGUGAAAUUGCUGAAAGGGAAACGCUUGAAGUCAGUCACGUUGGCUAGAAAUCAACCUUGCUUUUGCUGGGCGUACUUUCUGGUUAACGGGUCAGCAUCAAUUUUGACCGUUGGAAAAAGUUCAGAGGAAUGUGGCAUCUUCGGAUGUGUUAUAGCCUCUGUUCGCAUACAAUGGUUGGGAUUGAGGAUCUCAGCACGCCGCAAGGCCGGGUUUCGACCACGUUCGUGCUUAGGAUGCUGGCAUAAUGGCUUUAAUCGACCCGUCUUGAAACACGGACCAAGGAGUCUAACAUGCCUGCGAGUGUUUGGGUGGAAAACCCAAGCGCGCAAUGAAAGUGAAAGUUGAGAUCCCUGUCAUGGGGAGCAUCGACGCCCGGACCAGACCUUUUGUGACGGAUCCGCGGUAGAGCAUGUAUGUUGGGACCCGAAAGAUGGUGAACUAUGCCUGAAUAGGGUGAAGCCAGAGGAAACUCUGGUGGAGGCUCGUAGCGAUUCUGACGUGCAAAUCGAUCGUCAAAUUUGGGUAUAGGGGCGAAAGAC
rnacentral:rRNA from 1 species